ensembl:snoRNA
GGCCUUUGUGUUGCCCUUUCACUGUAUAAGUAGUGAAUGGGGUGUCAGAAAAGGCCCAAAGGGGAAUCCCUCACAGUCACUUCCUGUUCCCUAGAUACACACGUUACCUGGGGCUCGGCUGUGAGGGGACAUUG